GACGGAAGGUGCAAGCGUUGCUCGGAAUCACUGGGCGUAAAGGGUGCGUAGGCGGCUUGGUAAGUUGGGUGUGAAAGCCCCGGGCUCAGCCCGGGAAGGGCACUCGAAACUGCCGAGCUGGAGUGCCGGAGGGAAGAGUGGAAUUCCUGGUGUAGCGGUGAAAUGCGUAGAUAUCAGGAGGAAUACCGGUGGCGAAAGCGACUCUCUGGACGGCAACUGACGCUGAGGCACGAAAGCGUGGGGAGCAAACAGG
rnacentral:rRNA from 1 species